rnacentral:rRNA from 1 species
UACGUAGGGUGCGAGCGUUAAUCGGAAUUACUGGGCGGAAAGCGUGCGCAGGCGGUUUUGUAAGCCAGAUGGGAAAUCCCCGGGCUUAACCUGGGAAUGGCAUUUGGGACUGCAAGGCUGGAGUUUGGCAGAGGAGACUGGAAUUCCUGGUGUAGCAGUGAAAUGCGUAGAUAUCAGGAGGAAUACCGAUGGCGAAGGCAGGUCUCUGGGCUAUAACUGACGCUCAUGCACGAAAGCGUGGGGAGCAAACAGG